UGAGGAAUAUUGGUCAAUGGACGCGAGUCUGAACCAGCCAAGUAGCGUGAAGGAAGACUGCCCUAUGGGUUGUAAACUUCUUUUGUUAGGGAAUAAAGUGCGCCACGUGUGGUGUUUUGUAUGUACCUAACGAAUAAGCAUCGGCUAACUCCGUGCCAGCAGCCGCGGUAAUACGGAGGAUCCGAGCGUUAUCCGGAUUUAUUGGGUUUAAAGGGUGCGUAGGCGGACUAGUAAGUCAGCUGUGAAAGUUAGUGGCUCAACCNCUAAAUUGCAGUUGAAACUGUUGGUCUUGAGUAUACAUGAGGUGAGCGGAAUUUGUGGUGUAGCGGUGAAAUGCAUAGAUAUCACAAGGAACUCCAAUUGCGAAGGCAGCUCAUCUGGGGUAUAACUGACGCUGAGGCACGAAGGUGCGGGUAUCAAACAGGAUUAGAU
rnacentral:rRNA from 1 species